GCAAUUUUAAAUCGCUGCCACCGCGUCCUCCCUUCCCAUCUAAAUCUUUGGGCUGCAGAGAAAACUGAUACGUUAAAAUGUUUGAUAAAUAAAAAGCAAUAGCGUUUAUGGUAGAAGGUGAAGUUUGAAAAAGUUAAUAAAUACGUGCAUCGGCAUUUAUGCAUGCGCAUCGGAUCACACAAGGAGUUAACAACUUUCUGUCUCCCAGUCACCUCUGCAUCAUCUUUCAAAAUCUGUGGGCGUCAAGUUGAGGAUAUUUUGUGAAGAGCAGAUUAAACCUUGGAAUCCUUGUUGUGUGUCCAUUACGCAAGUCUAGUGCUGCUUCCCAGUGGGAGGCCGACGGGGCUCCGGCUGGUAAUUAAGCGUGCACUGACGUCGGAGCAACCGAAUUUGGGGGCCCACUUCAAAGCCCUGCAGUCAGGAAAAGCGCGCGCAGAAGCGGACCCCAAGCCGGGGUCCAUGGCGCGGUGGCCCCCGAAGACGCUGCUCCGCGCUGGCGUGCGGGGAACUUGGGCAGAGCCGGCCUCCUCGGGGAAGCAGGAGGACCUAGCAGAAGCAGAAGGAGCCAGCAAGAGGCAGCACUCCGAACAGAAGUGCCCGCGGGAAGGGGAGAAGAGACAAGAGGUGCCGGCUGCUGCUUCAAAGAGGGGCAGGGCCAUUCCCUUCCUGCCAUCAAAACCAAGCGGGAAGGCUGGGCUGGGUGGAAGGAGCCCCCCCCAGCCCCCCUCCUCUGACGGGGAAGACGUUGCAGAGGGCUGCCCCUGAUGCCAACCCCCUAGUCCCACACACGCUCCCUGUCAGCGUCAGCUGUAGGGCAGGGGAGAUGCUUUGUCUGCUCUGAUCCAAAGCAAGCUAUCUCCCUCCGCCUCCUGCCCACGCCUGGCUCUGAUGGCAGCAGGAGCUUCGAACCUGGAUGUCAGACAUGUGGGCAAGCAUGCAGCGUCCGUGCCAUGCCCCUUCCCCCAGAUGCUGGCAGGCAGGCAGGCAGGGAGCCCAGGCUGCAGAGGAGGCAGUACCAAGCAGAGUCGGGGCCUGCUCCUGCUGUCCUGCUGGCAACUGGGCCAUCGAGUCUGUGGGGGUCGGACUGCUUGUCCCCCAUUGCAUCUCCCAGCAGUCCUCACUGAGAGAGAACACAUUUUGGACCUGCUGUUGUCCAGGCUUUGGCUGGAAUACCCGCUUCUGACCUAGAAGGGCCUUCCUCGAGUCCCGGUCUCAUAACUCUCAG
rnacentral:lncRNA from 1 species